rnacentral:rRNA from 1 species
UACGGAGGGUGCGAGCGUUGUUCGGAAUCACUGGGCGUAAAGGGCGUGUAGGCGGCCACACAGGUCUGCUGUGAAAACUCGAGGCUCAACCUCGAGCUGUCGGUGGAAACCGUGUGGCUAGAGUCCGGAAGAGGAGAGUGGAAUUCCCGGUGUAGCGGUGAAAUGCGCAGAUAUCGGGAAGAACACCCGUGGCGAAGGCGGCUCUCUGGGACGGUACUGACGCUGAGACGCGAAAGCGUGGGGAGCGAACAGG